ensembl:lncRNA
CAGGAUUACUAGAAACUUCCAAGCAGGUGUGAUUUGGAGCUGGUUGGAGCUAAACUCUGCAGAGCUGUGGCCCUCUAGGAAUUGAGUUUGAGACCAUUGGUUUAUAGGCACAUAAGCACUUCUAAUCACAUCCUGCUCCAGUGAGACCAACUGCCAUUGAGAUGAAUGGAGAUGCUAACGGCUAACAGCUUCCUUCAGGUUAUUGUACUGGGACUUUAUUUCCCACGAGUUGCACCUGCUGUCGCCUCUGGAGCUCACUGUGGGUUCAGUGCUGAUGGAACGCAGAGCGGACGCAGCCUGACAUCUGAGAACGCUGAGAGCUCACGUCUAAAAGAACACAAGGAUUACCUUUAUUUUCAUCCACCCAGUGGAUCAUUUCGUAGAGAUGUGCAGAAGUGAUCUGAAAGUUAAACGUACUGUAGCUGUCAUAAACAGUGAUAAGGGGCUGUAAUUCCUGAAGAAAAUCUAAAUCGCCUCACUGGGAGUUAGUCACCUGGAUACUUGGAAGUACGUAGUUUGAAAUCCGUCAUUGUUGUGAUGGACACUCAUCUCUGGACGCUUAGCUCGGGACACACUGUUUUGCUGAGCCCAUCAGCUGACUGUGAAUGUCUUAUUGAAUUCUGAGUAAUUAAUGCAUCCGUUGUCUUCAGUGGAGAGGAGGAGAGGCAGCAGGACGUGAGUGAGAUGAAGCCCUCUGACAGGAUGUUUAUGAGGUGUCAGUUUGCGUUUGGAUCAGAGGAGCUGAUGGGGGCGGAGAGGGAGACGCUUGGCCUGUAUGGAGCUCAACUGCGUGACCCAUUUGCUCUGUUUGGAUCGGUUCAGUGGUGUUGUGACGAGGUGCUCUGGAUGCCGUUCCAAUCCUCGGAUCUGGAUCUCGCUCCCUGACAUGGCAGAGCAUGAGUCAGCUGUCAAGCGCACAAACACGCGUGUUCACCGUCGGCCAUGUGUGCAGCAUGAGGCCAGCGCUGAAGAACCUGAUGCUCACUCAAGAACUGUAUUUCAGUGAUGGUCAUGGUAAACUUUUAGGAAUAUUGCUUAAAGCCACUUCGAGCACUAAACGACCUGUUGUAUCUAAAGUGGCUGCAGUUCAUGGACUUUUCUUUUGUGCUGUUGGCAUAAUACGGGUCUAUUGUGGACACAGACAUACAAUUUGUAUUGUACCCCAAUUUUUGUACCCAACAGUGAGGUCACAUUAGCAAAGUAAGAAGGUCCAUUGUCUGUUAUGAAUAGUGUAGCAAUUCUUAGUUUGGAAGUGACUUACUCAGAGGUCACUUCCAAACGAAACAGUUUUACAUUGUGACAAAUUCACAUGUUUAGAGUUUAAGAUACAUGAAUCCGAUGCGAAAUCUGUGUUGGAAAUUUUUCACCAGUGUGCAGUCACAAUAGCAAACUUUCAGCAACCCAGCUUGAUGAGCACUUUUUUUGCGUUUUAUGAUGUCAUUUUCUAAACAAGUUGGGCUGCAUUGUAUUUAAAAAACUGCACAUCUUUUUUUAAUUAUUUCAAUAAAUCACUUGUUUUUCUAAAGAAACAUUGUUCAACAGCGACA